rnacentral:lncRNA from 10 species
UUAUUUGAAGGCAGACUUUUAUUCUUUUUUUUUUUGAAUUUUAUUUUUGUUUUGUUUUUUAUUUAAGUUCAGGGAUACGUGUGCAGAUUCGUUACAUAGGUAAACUUGUGUCAUGGCGGUUUGUUGUACAGAUGAUUUCGUUACCCAGGUAUUAAGCCUAGUAUCCAUGCUGCUGUUUUUUAAAUUUUUUAUUUCCAUAGGUUUUUGGGGAACAGGUGGCAUUUUGGUUAUAUGAGUAAGUUCUUAAGC